rnacentral:rRNA from 1 species
CUCAGGAUGAACGCUAGCUACAGGCUUAACACAUGCAAUUCGAGGGGCAGCAUGAACAUAGCUUGCUAUGUUUGAUGGCGACCGGCGCACGGGUGCGUAACACGUAUCCAAUCUGCCCGUCACUCGGGGAUAGCCUUCUGAAAGGAAGAUUAAUACCCGAUGGCAUGCAUUUCCGGCAUCGGAGAUGCAUUAAAGAUUUUAUCGGUGACGGAUGAGGAUGCGUACGAUUAGCUUGUUGGCGGGGUAACGGCCCACCAAGGCGACGAUCGUUAGGGGUUCUGAGAGGAAGGUCCCCCACACUGGAACUGAGACACGGUCCAGACUCCUACGGGAGGCAGCAGUGAGGAAUAUUGGUCAAUGGGCGGGAGCCUGAACCAGCCAAGUAGCGUGAAGGAUGACUGUCCUACGGGUUGUAAACUUCUUUUGUUUGGGAAUAAAAGACGCUACGUGUAGCGUUCUGCAUGUACCUUACGAAUAAGCAUUGGCUAAUUCCGUGCCAGCAGCCGCGGUAAUACGGAAGAUGCGAGCGUUAUCCGGAUUUAUUGGGUUUAAAGGGAGCGUAAGGCGGGCUGUUAAGUCAGCGGUAAAAAUGUCAAGGCCCAACCUUGUCCUGCCGUUGAAACUGGCGGUCUUGAAUGCACACCAAGGGAGAUGGAAUUCGUCCUGUAGCGGUGAAAAUGCUUAGAUAAUGACGAAGAACUCCGAUUGCGAAGGCAGUCUCGUGGGGGGUAAUGGACGCUGAGGCUCGAAAAGUGCGGGUAUCAAACAGGAUUAGAUACCCGGGUAGUCCGCACAGUAAACGAUGAAUGCGGGUUCUUGGCGAUAUAGUGUCAGGAACUGAGGGAAACCAUUAAGCAUUCCACCUGGGGAGUACGCCGGCAACGGUGAAACUCAAAGGAAUUGACGGGGGCCCGCACAAGCGGAGGAACAUGUGGUUUAAUUCGAUGAUACGCGAGGAACCUUACCCGGGCUUGAAUUGCAGCUGCAUGGGUCAGAGAUGUCCCUUCCCUUCGGGGCUGCUGUGAAGGUGCUGCAUGGUUGUCGUCAGCUCGUGCCGUGAGGUGUCGGCUUAAGUGCCAUAACGAGCGCAACCCUUGCUGUCAGUUGCCAUCAGGUAAUGCUGGGCACUCUGGCGGGACUGCCAUCGCAAGAUGUGAGGAAGGUGGGGAUGACGUCAAAUCAGCACGGCCCUUACGUCCGGGGCUACACACGUGUUACAAUGGGGAGUACAGAAAGCCGCUUCAUGGCGACAUGAGGCUAAUCUUGAAAGCUCCUCUCAGUUCGGACUGGAGUCUGCAACCCGACUCCACGAAGCUGGAUUCGCUAGUAAUCGCGCAUCAGCCAUGGCGCGGUGAAUA